rnacentral:lncRNA from 1 species
ACAGUUCAACAUUAGUGUUACCCUAUUAACUAAACACUUGCAUAAUUAUAUAUAGAAAUGUAUUUAUAUAUUAAUUAAAAUAUUAUUACUUUUUAGGAUUUCGGAGCCUUCACAAAAAAUGAAAAGGAGAAUUUUUCUACAAGUAUGUUCAUUUUGUUAUGGCUUAUAUAUAGUAGAAUCAAUUAAAUGUUUUUUUUUUUUUUUUUUUUUUUUUAUUUGUAGCAUUUAAAUAAUUUGUUUAUAAUAUUUGAUUUGAUUUGACUUUUUUUUUUUUUUUUUUUAGCUUGUAAAGUGGUACUUAUAAAAAACUAAACACAGAGUGAAAAAAAAAAAAAAAAAAAAAAAAAAAAAAUUGCUUAGAAAAAUAUGAAAUGUACACUAAAAUAUUAAAACAUACAAAUAAUUUUUUUUUUUUUAUUAAUUAUUCCAAUUGUUGUCUAGGUUUGGCCAUGUAAAAAUGAGUCAUGUAAACGAGAUUACUCAAUAACAUGUCCUAAAGGAUGGUCUUACAAUGUGAAAAAGGAUGUAUGCAGUAGUGACAAAGAGUUCAAAGGCUUAAUUUCCGAAGAGGAAAAGGAAUCUAUUAGUCACAUGUCUUAUGAUAAAAAAGUCGCGUUUUCAGUAAAAUAUGGAAUUUCAUGGCCAUGUGAAAACAAAUGUACGUAUGGCUAUGAUAUUUAUGCCUGUCCUAGAAGUUGGAUAAAUGUAAUGGAUUCAGGGUUAUGUAAAGCACCGGAUGAUUAUAGCUCUACUAUUAAUUGUCCUCGUAUAACACAUUUUGAUUACAUGAAUUCAAAAGAAAAAGAAAAUUUUAGUAAAAAUUGUAAAGUAAAAUGGUUAUGUUCUGAAAAUUCACAAAGAGAUUAUUCUAAGUGUCCUAUAAAUUUUGAUUAUGUUACUGAAGGAACUGAUAAAGGAAUGUGCAGGCCAAAUGACAAAUAUGAAGGGCCAUGUAAAGAAACUCAAGAUAUAUUAUCAUUAAAUCUAACAAAUAAAUAUAACUUUGAAGAAACGUGCGAAUGUCAAUUUCCAAUUAUAAAUAAAAAAGAUAUUCCCCAAACAGAACAAGAUAUCAUUUCGCCUAAUAAGUUACAAAAACUACUAAAAGGAGCAGAUAUCUCUAAAAAGGAAAUUACUUUAGAGUAACUGUCCGUUCCUUCAUUCGUUUGUUCUGUUUAAUACAUUUUUAGGAUUAAUAUAUUCUUAUUUAACAGGUGUUUAAAUAUUCAGCUAAAUUCACACUCUUUUUUGUUUGUUUGUUUUUUUUUUUUUUUUUUAUAUACUUAUUUUUUUUUUAUUUUGUUAUUUUUUGUUUUAAUUUUAAAAAAGUCCAUAAAUAUAUAAUAUGUUAUUUAUCAUUUUGAUUAUAUUUUAGAAAGAACAAAUAAUGUAAUAAACAAAAUGCAAAAGACA